GGACCACUGUGUUGUAGUCCUGGACACCAGAUUCUACUGGUCAAGGGCUUGAUGAUUAGUCGACAGGUAGGAUCUGGUGUGCUUGUCCGGGGACAUGACAGAAAUAUGUACUGUUGGGGUACCUGAGUGGGGGAACACUGACUUACUGUACAGGUCAUGCAGAAGAGGUUGUUUUCUGUGUGUGUGUGUGUGUGUGUGUGUGUGUGUGUGUGUGUGUGUGUGUGUGUGUGUGUGUGUGUGUGUGUGUGUGUGUGUGUGUGUGUGUGUGUGUGUGUGUGUGUGUGUGUGUGUGUGUGUGUGUGUGUGUGUGUGUGUGUCUUUAUUUGCAUUGUAGAUAGAACAUUGACUGACUGCCGUAGCUGGGAAUGGUCAUUGGGUAUAACCAGAGUAUCCCAAACAGGGUUUCCUAACCAGGGGUACUAGGACUAUCCACAGGGGGUACUGGAGAAGACUCAUGAGACCAUAGGGUUACUGGUCAAAUGCAUGAGGGGGUACUUCAGGGGUACUAGGACUAUCCACAGGGGUACUGGAGAAGACUCAUGAGACCAUAGGGUUACUGGUCAAAUGCACGAGGGGGUACUUCAGGGGUACUAGGACUAUCCACAGGGGGUACUGGAGAAGACUCAUGAGAUCAUAGGGUUACUGGUCAAAUGCAUGAGGGGGUACUUCAGGGGUACUCCGGGCAGAACACAAUUCAGUUGGUGGUAAAGUACCCCAAAAAGGUUGGGAUCCACUAUUCUAAAACACGUGUCAAAUUAAUUCCAUGAAGGGCCGAGUGUCGGGGCUUUCACUCCUCCCUUGUACUUGACUGAUGAAUUAAGGUCCCUGAUUAGUAAGGAACUCCUCUCACAAGGUUGUCUGGGUCUUCAUUGAAAGGAAAAAACCAGACACUAGACCCUCCAUGGAAUGAAUUUGACACCCCUGGUCUAAAUACACACUUCUACCUGACAGUCCAUCCAACUUUGAAUGUAUCACUGUGUGUUCUCCAUUACCCUUUUGAGAUAAUGAUUUAUCAGUAUUUCCUACACACACUACUUAACACUGGUGGUUGGUCUACCAUGCAGGCCUAGCUGGCUCCAGGAAAUGGAUAGCAGAGGGGCUGAUGACCUUCUGUACAGACAACCUAGUUUUCUUUAGUUUCAUUAUCUAUUCAAUAGAAGGGCUUCAGUAUUACAUCACUCACUAGUUUAUCAAGGGAGAGACCGUGAUCUUGCUGCUCGUAUCGACUGCUUCGAGAAAGCCAGUGGGAACAUUGGUGCCAAGAAUCAGUAUUUUUCUGUAUUCUGAGUGACAAUUUGUGCUCUGAGAUAAUCAACUGCUGCUCUGACCUGUCUGUUCACCCUCUCACGCUAACCUUCCAGAACCACUCUGAAAUAUUCUAGACUGAGUACAUAAUGUGGAACUAGAACUGUGAUUGGUUCUGGAACUCAUAGGGCUGCUGCAGAUGGCAGACUCCUGUUAGUGUAUAACAGUGAUGGCUAACAGGACUAUGAUGAAUCUUGGGCCUUUUUGAGGGCUUCAAUGAGAUCAGAAGACUGGUAGUGGUUGGACUGACUGGCUGAGACAGUCCCUCCACUCAGUGUACGGACUCAGGGCUAGCUACAUAGAGCCAGGGAGCUGCUCUGGGAUGUAGUAUGUACAACACUGAUGUUAUUGGCUGUAGAGGUGUAGUUUCCCUAUUGGAUUACUUUACUAACACAGGUGGCAGUACUGGGGCCUGUUCUGGAUGGUUUGACAUAUUUUAUAUACAUACAUACAUACAUACAUACAUACAUACAUACAUACAUACAUACAUACAUACAGUUGAAGUCGGAAGUUUACAUACACUUAGGUUGGAGUCAUUAAUACUUGUUUUUCAACCACUCCACACAUUACUUGUUAGCAAACUAUAGUUUUGGCAAGUCGGUUAGGACAUCUACUCUAAGUCAUUUUUCCAACAAUUGUUCACAGACAGAUUAUUUCACUUAUAAUUCACUGUAUCACAAUUCCAGUGGGUCAGAAGUUUACGUACACUAAGUUGACUGUGCCUUUAAACAGCUUGGAAAAUUCCAGAAGAUGAUGUCAUUGCUUUAGAAGCUUCUGAUAGGCUAAUUGACAUCAUUUGAGUCAAUUGGAGGUGUACAUGUGGAUGUAUUUCAAGGCCUACCUUCAAACUCUGUUCCUCUGCUUGACAUCAUGGGAAAAUCAAAAGAAAUCAGCCAAGACCUCAGAAAAAUAAAUUGUAGACCUCCACAAGUCUGGUUCAUCCUUGGGAGCAAUUUCCAAACGCCUGAAGGUACCACGUUCAUCUGUAUAAACAAUAGUACACAAGUAUAAACACCAUGGGACCAUGCAACCGUCAUACCGCUGAGGAAGUAGACGCGUUCUGUCUCCUAGAGAUGAACUUACUUUGGUGCGAAAAGUGCAAAUCAAUCCCAGAACAACAGCAAAGGACCUUGUGAAGAUGCUGGAGGAAACAGGUACAAAAGUAUCUAAACGAGUCCUAUAUCGACAUAACAUGAAAGGCCACUGCUCCAAAACCGCCAUAGAAAUGCCAGACUACAGUUUGCAACUGCACAUGGGGACAAAGAUUGUACUUUUUGGAGAAAUGUCCUCUGGUCUGAUGAAACAAAAAUAGAAUUGUUUGGCCACAAUGACCAUCGUUAUGUUUGGAGGGAAAAAGGGGGAGGCUUGCAAGCCGAAGAACACUAUCCCAACCGUGAAGCAUGGGGGUGGCAGCAUCAUGUUGUGGGGGUGCUUUGGUGGAGGAGGGACUGGUGCACUUCACAAAAUAGAUGGCAUCAUGAGAGAGGAAUAUUGCGUGAAUGUAUUGAAGCAACAUCUCAAGACAUCAGUCAGGAAGUUACAGCUUGGUCACAAAUGGGUCUUCCAAAUGGACAAUGACCCCAAGCAUACUUCCAAAGUUGUGGCAAAAUGGCUUAAGGACAACAAAGUCAAGGUAUUGGAGUGGCCAUCACAAAAAUUGUGGGCAGAACUGAGAGUGUGUGAGAAAGGAGGCCUAAAAACCUGACUCAGUUACACCAGCUCGGUCAGGAGGAAUGGGCCAAAAUUCACCCAACUUAUUGUGGGAAGUUUGUGGAAGGCUACUCAACGUUUGACCCAAGUUAAACUAUUUAAAGGCAAUGCUACCAAAUACUAAUUGAGUGUAUAUAAACUUCUGACCCGCUGGGAAUGUGAAGAAAGAAAUACAGGCUGAAAUAAAUCAUUCUCUACUAUUAUUCUGACAUUUCACAUUCUUAAAAUAAAGUGGUGAUCCUAACUGACCUAAGACAGGGAAUUUUUACUAGGAUUAAAUGUGAGGAAUUGUGAAAAACUGAGUUUAAAUGUAUUUGGCUAAGGUUUUUUGAUACACUGCAGAUUUUGCAGGUUUUCCUACAUACAAAGCAUGUAGAGGUCUGUCUUUUUUUAUCAUUGGAACACUGCAGCUGUGAGAGACGGAAUCUAAAGCAAAAAUCCAGAAAAUCACAUUGUAUGAUUUUUAAAAUUAGCAUUUUAUUGCAUAACAUAAGUAUUUGAUCACCUACCAACCAGUAAGAAUUCCGGCUCCCACAGACCUGUAGUUUUUCUUUAAGAAGCCCCCCUGUUCUCCACUCAUUACCUGUAUAAGACACCUGUCCACACACCCAAUCAAACAGACCCCAACCUCUCCACAAUUGCCCAGACCAGAGAGGGUGUAAGGACAUCAGGGAUAAAAUUGUAGACCUUCACAAGGCUGGGAUGGGCUACAGGACAAUAGGCAAGCAGCUUGGUGAGAAGGCAACAACUGUUGGCCCAAUUAUUAAAAAAUGGAAGAAGUUCAAGUUGACGGUCAAUCACCCUCGGUCUGUGGCUCCAUGCAAGAUCUCACCUCGUGGGGCAUCAAUGAUCAUGAGGAAGGUGAGGGAUCAGCCCAGAACUACACGGCAGGACCUGGUCAAUGACCUGAAGAGAGCUGGGACCACAGUCUCAAAGAAAAACCAUUAGUAACACACUACGCCGUCGUGGAUUAAAAUCCUGCAGCGCACGCAAGGUCCCUCUGCUCAAGCCAGCGAAUGUCCAGGCCUGUCUGAAGUUUGUCAAUGACCAUCUGGAUGAUCCAGAGGAGGAAUGGGAGAAGGUCAUGUGGUCUGAUGAGACAAAAAUAGAGCUUUUUGGUCUAAACUCCACUCGCCGUGUUUGGAGGAAGAAGAAGAGUACAACCCCAACAACACCAUCCCAACAAGUAAAGCAUGGAGGUGGAAACAUCAUUCUUUGGGGAUGCUUUUCUGCAAAGGGGACAGGACGACUGCACCGUAUUGAGGGGAGGACGGAUGGGGCCAUGUAUCGCUUGAUCUUGGCCAACAACCUCCUUCCCUCAGUAAGAGCAUUGAAGAUGGGUCGUGGCUGGGUCUUCCAGCAUGACAACGACCCGAAACACACAGCCAGGGCAACUAAGGAGUAGCUCCGUAAGAAGAAUCUCAAGGUCCUGGAGUGGCCUAGCCAGUCUCCAGACCUGAACCCAAUAGAAAAUAUUUGGAGGGAGCUGAAAGUCCGUAUUGCCCAGCGACAGCCCCGAAACCUGAAGAAUCUGGAGAAGGUCUGUAUGGAGGUGUGGGCCAAAAUCCCUGCUGCAGUGUGUGCAAACCUGGUCAAGUUCUACAGGAAACGUAUGACCGCUGUAAUUGCAAACAAAGGUUUCUGUACCAAAUAUUAAGUUCUGCUUUUCUGAUGUAUCAAAUACUUAUGCCAUGCAAUAAAAUGCAAACUAAUUACUUAAAAAUCAUACAAUGUGAUUUUCUGGAUUUUUGUUUUAGAUUCCGUCUCUCACUGAAGUGUACCUAUGAUUAAAAAUUACAGACCUCUACAUGCGUUGUAAAUAGGAAACACUGACGAUUUUGCAGGUUAUUAAAUACUUGUUCUCCCCACUGUAUAUAUAUAUGCGCAUGCAAUAAGGCCCGAGGGUGUGUGGUAUAUGUCCAAUGUACUACGACUUAAACACGACGCAACCUGGAGUGCAUGGACACAGUCUUUAGCCGUGGUAUAUUGGCCAUAUACCACAAACCCCCGAGGUGCCUUAUUGCUAUUCUAAACUGGUUACCAAUGUAAUUGGAGCAGUAAAAAUAGCUGUUUUGUCAUACCCGUGGUAUAUGGUCUGAUUCACCACGGCUGUCGGCCAAUCAGCAUUCAAUGCACGAACCACCCAGUUUAUAUUUAUAUAUUAAACCAAUGCUUGUUGUUGUUGAUGCAUAUAUCUGACACUAAAUAAUAUUGUGUGCCUUUUGAAACUUGACAUGUAUGAAUAAUUGUUUGCGCUGCAUUUUUUCCUGGCACAUGCUAGUUCCUUCACUCGUGGAAUCUUGAACCAUUUUGGAGACCAUAGCAGCUAGGAAUUAACAGUCGAUUGUGUCCUUGAACUGUUUGUCUCGUUUAUGUAAGUGGAAUUGCUUUCAUUUGACAAUAAAUUAGUUUUUAAAGGAG